GGAGUUAUAGUAGCGGGCUGCUUUCUGCUUGUAGGCUGCCAUCCGAACUUGAGGUGUCUCCCACUUUUCUUCUAACAGGUCGAGGUUGGCCUUGAGAUCCUAUGAGUUGUGCUGCUCGUCGAAUACCACAACUCACGCCGACGGAAGCUUGAGUUUGAUUAGGAUCAUGACUUCUCUUUUGAAGGCUAAGGCAAAGGGGGUCU
rnacentral:lncRNA from 1 species